rnacentral:misc_RNA from 1 species
GAUGAAGAACGCAGCGAAAUGCGAUAAGUAGUGUGAAUUGCAGAAUUCCGUGAAUCAUCGAAUCUUUGAACGCACAUUGCGCCUCCUGGUAGUCCGGGAGGCAUGCCUGUUCGAGCGUCACCAAAUCCAACUCAAGCGGUUUUGCGCUUGGUCGUGGCGGAAGAGUCGGUCUGGUUGCCGUCUCCCCUCCGAAAUUCAACGGCGGAAAGUCACUGGCAGUCAGCGUAGUAGUAUCGUUCGCCGAACAUCCAGUGGCAUUCCUGCCGACGUACCCCCACAAUUCUCGUGAUUGACCUCGUAUCAGGUAGGGAUACCCGCUGAACUUAAGCAUAUCAAUAAGCGGAGGA